UGGGGAAUAUUGCACAAUGGGCGCAAGCCUGAUGCAGCGAUGCCGCGUGCGGGAUGAAGGCCCUAGGGUUGUAAACCGCUUUCAGCAGGGAANAAAUGACGGUACCUGCAGAAGAAGGUGCGGCCAACUACGU
rnacentral:rRNA from 1 species